CACGCCCUCCCAUCUCUCCCUCCUUCCUGCCGUCCCCCGCCUGAGGGAGGGGAGCGGUGCAGCAGACAUCCGAGGGCAGCUGGGACCCCCUGACUCAGCCGACGGGUGAGUCAGGCUCCCUGCAGGCCACACCGGACCCCCCCAGGGCGGGGAUUUCCCCAAGAUGAGAAAUCAGCCACCGGAAGUCACGCCGGACCUUGGACGGGCAGACAGAGGCUGGGAGGAGUUCUGGGUGCAGAGCCCCCCAACCUGGCACGGUGGCUCACACCUAUAAUCUCACCACUUUGGGAGGCCGAAGUGGGAAGAUUGCUUGAGCCCAGAAGUUGGAGACCAGCCUGGGCAACACAGCAAGACCCCUGUCUCUACCGAAAAUGAAAAAAAUUAGCUGGGCAUGGCAGUGUGCACUUGGGAGCUACUCAGGAGGCUGAAGCGGGAGGAUCACUUGAGCUCAGGAGUUCAAGGCUGCAUUGAGCUAUGAUGGCACCACUGCAGUCCAGCCUAGGAGACAGAGCUAGACCCUGUCUCUAAAAAUAAAUAAAUAAAUAAUCUCGGCAUUUCUCAUCCUAAUUG
rnacentral:lncRNA from 1 species